rnacentral:rRNA from 1 species
CCUACGGGUGGCAGCAGUGGGGGAUAUUGCACAAUGGGGGGAACCCUGAUGCAGCGACGCCGCGUGGGUGAAGAAGCGCCUCGGCGCGUAAAGCCCUGUCAGCAGGGAAGAAAAUGACGGUACCUGAAGAAGCAGCCCAGGCUAACUACGUAACAGCAACCUCGGUAAUACGUAGGGUGCAAGCGUUAUCCGGAUUUACUGGGGGUAAAGGGGGCGCAGACGGGGAUGCAAGCCAGUAGUGAAGGCCCAGGGCCCAACCCGGGGACUGCGCUUGGAACUGCGUGGCUGGAGUGCAGGAGGGGCAGGCGGAAUUCCUGGUGUAGCGGUGAAAUCCGUAGAUAUCCGGAGGAACAUCAGUGGCGAAGGCGACUAUCUGGCACAUAACUGACGCUGAGGAGCGAAAGCGUGGGUAGCAAACAGGAUUAGAUACCCGGGUAGUC